AGCAGAGAUUUCAUAUGAAAUGUUUGUGUGUCUUUUAUGUAAACAGUGAUGAGGUUUUAUAGUGUGAGCAAGUGAGCAAAAAGAAAGGGGAAAGAUAAGAAGAGUGAAUAGAAUUGGAGGGAAAUCUUGUGUUAGGGAUUCUAGUGAGAGUUUGCAAUUCGCGUGAAUGAGUGAUUUGGAAGGUUAAUAGGGGUUUAGAUGAAAAGUUUGUUAGAGAGUGUGCUAGUUUGAGAAUAUUUUGUGUUAGUUUGAUGGUAAUUUGGAUGGCAUGGUGAUGCUUGAUGGAUGGAUGGUGAAGGGGAAAGAGUUCACGCGUUCUAUAUUCU
rnacentral:lncRNA from 1 species